ACGUCCCUCCAUGGCCUCUGCAUCAGCUCCUGCUUCCUGACCUGCUUGAGUUCCAGUCCUGACCUCCUUUGGUGAUGAACAGCAAUGUGGAAGUGAGGAGGAAACAGAAGAACGUGAGGCAGCCGAGGAAGCCUCGACCCAGCUUUGCAGAUGGAGGGAGACACACACCCAAAGCCUGGAAGUACAGAAGCCACGGGAAACCGACAGGAUGUCCUCAGAGAGCAAGCAGCGUGGGACACUGUGCUCCAAGUGUCAGCUCAUAUACCCACCUCACAGAUGAGGACACUGAGGUUCCCAGAAGCACAGUAUUACACAGAAAAGCUCGUGCAUGUAACCUGUAAGGACUCCAAACUCAGGUCACAAUAGCUCAAUCACUGAGCUCAGACUUUGAUCAGGGGUCCUACGGCCAAACAUGGGCAGGCAUGGACCUGCGUGCCUGUGUGCCAGGAGCUCAGGCCCCAGGAUAAAGAUUCUUUCUUCCCCACAGCUUCUGGAGAAGUCAGUACCUCAGGCCACCAGGACAGAACCAGCAAGUGAAUGGAUUUGCAGGAUGUGACUAAGCUCUAAUGGGAACAUGCUUUAGAUAGGAAAGGAUUUCUCCUGGGCGUGUCUUACACACCUAUUAUCCAGCACUGGAGCAGGGCCCUGCAUUUCAUCACAAGCACGUCAAGGGUGGCGGUGUG